rnacentral:rRNA from 1 species
UACGAAGGGUGCAAACGUUGCUCGGAAUUAUUGGGCGUAAAGGGCGCGUAGGCGGCUAGAUGUGUCAAAGGUGAAAUCCCUCGGCUCAACUGAGGAACUGCCUUUGAAACUGUCUGGCUUGAAUCCGGGAGAGGGAUGCGGAAUUCCAGGUGUAGCGGUGAAAUGCGUAGAUAUCUGGAGGAACACCGGUGGCGAAGGCGGCAUCCUGGACCGGCAUUGACGCUGAGGCGCGAAAGCCAGGGGAGCAAACGGG